AGCAGUUGGGGGUUCUGUGCUUUGCCUUCACCUCAUUCAUGGUAUUGAGGGUGGAAGAGAGAGCUGGUUAUUAACUGACUUCAGGAUAUUUAGCAUUUUAUGCAUUACAAACAAGAGCUGCUCGUUUGCUGCCAUUGCAUUGAUUCAUAUUUUUGUUUAAGGUGACAAAGUGGAAGAGACCAUAGAGAGAAGUUGUGCCACAACAUAUGACUGUGAAAUCUGGUACAUUACAACAGGCAAUUCUUUCCAGUGCUGCGACACCGACUUGUGCAAUGAACAAGAUGACAUAGAUUUCUCAUACUCUUAUUAUGAUAAUGUUGCUUAUUAUGAUCAUGAUGAGAAGAAAUGUUUCACUUGUGAUGAGGAGGACUGCUCAGACAUACAGAGUUGUGUGGAGGAUGAAGACUACUGCUUUACUGCAAAGGGAAAUCAACCAAACACUGUAAAAGGAUGUGCCUCCAAAUACAUCUGUGAUUGUCCGCUAAAAUGGCUAGGACCUGGCUAUAUCACAUGUUGUGAGGGUAACCUGUUUAACGGCACUCAGAGCGUCACUCAGAGCUUCAUGUUCCUCUGCUAUUCUCUGCUCUCCUUCAUCCUGCUGCACUGAAUCCAGCAGCAAAGACCCUCCACAUCAGCCAGAAUGUAAUGAAUGACUGUGUGUCAAUCAAAAUAAAGCAUUCAUUUUCUAAGAUCAGUUGGUUAUCUUUUAGUCCAUGAUGUAAGAACGUCAAAAAUACAUUGGGGUCUAAACCACACAUUGAAAAUGCAGAAUAAUAAUAAAAAAAUAAAAAUAGACUUUUGGACCAUGCAUAUUGAAAUUGUCAUAUGUCAUUUGCAUAUAUCCAGACAUGAUAUUCAGUUAUUGGAGUGCAGUAAAUAUUUGAUUAUGUAAUUAUAUAAAAAAGUUAUUUUUUCAAAUGUUUGAAAUACAACAUUAAAAUAAUCCUAACACAUUUAGCAGUUGCCAAGUUGCCCUUGUGCAGACACUUACAAGAAACCAAGUUUGUUUUUCCAACACAGUGAAACCCACAAAACCACUGACAAACAUUAACAUUAUGAUAACUUAACUUAGGCACACUGCAGUAUAUACUGAGAUAAUGAUGAUUAUUAACCCUAAUCAAAGCAUUAAACCAAAACUUCUCAUAAUUUUUUUUGCAUUUUUCCUUUUUUAGUAAAAGUUGGUUUAGUAUGUUUAUUAGGUCAUUUGAGUUAGGGAGGCAAUGUCAUGUCUUCAUAAUGUAGCAAAAAAUGAAUACGCCUACAUUAAGAAACAUUUUUGGUGGCAUAAGUAGGUCAAAGCAGUGCAGAUUUCACACAUAUGCAUCUGCAUUGGCCUAAACACACAGGUGCUUUUAUGUAGUUGGACUUUCCACUGACUUCUUCUGAGCCUAAAUUUAGUCAUCCUCUUCUCCUAAAGCUUUAACGUUACAACCACCAAACUCGGGUCAGACCUUCAGACUGGUCUGACGUUGGUUGUUAUAUCU